CGCAGGUUAGCUCAUUGGUGAGAAUGGUAAGUUCGUGUUCAUCCCCUUCCACAUAUCACCAUCUCUCUUGGAGGCAGCAAUGCUGAAAACAAUGCUUAGAUCCUACAAGAUGGGAAGACAAAAGACAAUGCCUACCUACAGACAAUAGACAAGAUUUUCCUUUUAUUAUUCACCUUACUUUUCCCUUGUACUCCUACCAUAAGCCUAUCAACAAUUCCCUGAUUCUCACUGUGCUGCCAAGUAUCUCUUCUCUUGGUUCUAGCAGCACUGGGAGCAAUGGUGGAAACCAGCUACUAAGAACUCUGGGAUCAAGACAAGAACCCAGGAUUCUUUCUCCAUGAAAUGCUGGAGCAACUCUUCCUGUGACAUGAUAAAAGAUCGUGCUCAUUGCAGUGCUCCAAGUAAAUUAAGUACUGAAGUAAGAGCCAAUAAAAGUGCCGUUGGUCAAGUUCUUCAGCUUUGGAUUCUUCACCUAUGACAAGCAGACUACGUUCAUUUAGUGAUUAAAGGAGGUCUGAGGAAUUUGACAUCAGUUGGCCUGACCAUCUGCCUCUAUCAGCAUAGACUCUCCUACAGAGAACUAUCCUAUCUGAUUUCAUCCUGCCCUUCUUUUCCUUACAUGGUUUGAGAAAAUGUCAUGACUUAUGUGUGGAAUAAUUGUAGCUGGUUGAAUUAGCCAGGAGUUGACCAUGAAAAGCCAAGUGUGUAUCAGAGCAUGCGUUAGGUCAAACAUGAUCUCCUCCCUGAAGCUAACUGCAGAUUUACAGGCUUAGACGCAACAUAUUAAUGAGUGUGCAGCAAAGCAAAUCAUAGAAUUUAAGUAAUGAUUAUUAAAGGAUGAUGGAGAAGACAGUGCAGUGGGGAAAGCAUAGACUAGCCAUCAUAAAAAUUUGUUUUUAAUUAACCCUAUAGCUUUGCAUAAAUUACCUUCCUUUUUGUUCCUUAGUCAUACCACAAAUGAUCAAAUAUAAGAAAGACCAGACAACCUCUCCAAUUUUUCUAAAUAAUUUCUA